CUAGAUUGAAACACCGCCAUUGAAAUUUCUCUUUGUCUUCCUCUUCCACCACUGUUGGUUUUCGUCUACUACCAUUACUGUCGGCUUCCCCCUAUUAGCACCACUACCAUCUUCCAUUUAACAGACGCUUUGAAAGCAGUUGCAUUCACGAUUGUGCAGAAGUUGUCGACUCAAACGGCCUAGCUUGAAGAGGAGAUUGAAAGUGCUCAAGGAGACUUCUACUGAAAUUUGUGUCACUCUUCAUUUGGAGGAAGAUGUUUGUAAACUUGCAUACGUGAACAUUCUAAACAGCUUGUUAAUGUUUCAUUGCUGGAUAAUUAUUUUCUAUGUUUAUAGGAACAAAAGCUACAAGAGCCUAAUAUAUCAGCUACCUUUGAUAAUGAUAAGCUCGGUGUUGAUACACAAAGUUUGUUUGCAGAUUUGAAAGCGGACCAAACGUUAUCUGAAUCUGUGAAAACAAGAAAGAAAUACAGAAAUGUGGCUACAACUACUCGAGAUGCUUUGAAUCAGCUACUUACGCAGCUAUGGCAGCAAGGACUGCUACUGAACUCUUAAGGUCUGAAUCACAGGACAAUGAUACAGAUAAUGAUGGUGGUGGUUUAGUCAUCGACAAGCAACUGGUUCUGAAUCUUACUUGUCACUAGACGCCUAAUCUUCAAAGGGACAAAUUUGCAGUUAUAAAGGAAGAUGAAGGUUCUUGUGAUAGAUUGGAUUUCGACAAAAUGUAGCACAUGGACUUCCCUGGCUCCAAAACUGGAUUCAUCAUAAACUCAGAAUUAUCCUAUGGUAAAACCUAUGCAGAGGAGAAAUAGGAUGACAAACGCAUACAGCUUGAAUUUUAGAAAGCAAUUACAUGAACAACAUUCAAACACAGGCUGGAAGCAAUUUUCAAUGAGGACUAUACAAACUCAGAAUAUCUGAAAGCUGUUUAGUUUUAAGUGCUAUUGAAAUUCAAUUUUUGCAUAGCCAGAGUUCAUAGUUGGCACUGUUACUUCAUUAUUUAGUUUAUUUUGUUAUUGUAGUUGUACACCUAGACUAAUGAUUGGAAAUAAAGACAUGGGCAAUUUUAAGCUGUCA